CACCUACUGCAUAUGAGGGACCAGCAAGCUCUAUUUAUAGUGACCAGAGCGAUGAUGGACAUGAACCUAAAGAAGAGGGCACCUAUGUUGGAGAUGAAUCAGAAUAUAUUUAUGAAUAUGAAGACUAUGACUGUGAUUCAAAAGAGUCUCAUGAAGAUAAUUUAAAACAGGUUAAAGACUAGUCAACUAUUUCAACCUAAUUAAGCGGCAGCAAGAUGAUGUUUGACAGAACUAUGAAGUUUGGACAAUCUGCUCUUCAGUUCUUUACAUUUGCAGAUCUUUAACUGUCUCUAUUUUUAAUCAAAUUUCACUUUCUUUAGUCUAAGCCUAAUCAUACUUAAAAGCAUUUCUCUAAUAAAGUAUAAA